CCGGAGUGGAAGCAAAGUCCACCUGAAAUCUGAAAAAUCUCAAAAGUACAAUGAAUAAUGAUGCAUGUUCAUACACUCACCAAUCAGAAUUGAAGAUUGUUAAAAUUUUCACCAAUUGAAAUAAAAGAAGUAAAGGAUUACGGCGAAUGAUAAAGUCCUCCACUGGCAGUAUUGUUCUUGCUCCAAACCCAGAGGCCACAGACAAAACCACAGUUCAUUUGGUGGCUGAAGCUUACUGAAAACUUCCUUUCGUCUUGAUGCAGCCAGCUUUUUGGAUUACAUGGCAAGGGUGGCCUGAGCAAAGCGAUGGGAAAGAGUUGUUGGUGGAACAGUUUGUCCUGAGAGUCCUCCCUGCAUGCACAAGAAUCCCCAUCACAGGCUCUCCACUGGGAAACCCCAUCUGGGACAAAGGGAAAGAGCUUGGUGCAAUGGAAGGAUAGCAAGGGGACCAGCAUGGCUAAAGCCCAAGUCAGGAUCUCCUAUGUUGCCCAGGCUGACCUCAAACUCCUGGGCUCAAGAACUUCUUCUGCCUCAGCGCCCCCAAAGUGCCAGGAUUACAAGUUGCAAUUUUCAAGAGGACCAAGAGGCAAACAUACAGUGCUGAGCACAGAAGUGCAGCUUGGCUGCUUUGGAUCAGGAUCUGGCUUUGUUCCCUGUCUCACACUUUUUCUCCAGCCAGGGACCUCCCACCUGAACAGGACGAUUGAACUUUGCUUUGGUAAGGGAUGACUUGCUGGAAGAUGAAAAGCCUUGUGGUGGAACAUGAGUGGAGCUCUUCACAGCUCCCCAGGCAUUGCUGGUGCAGCACGGGGCAGAGGGUGUGGUACAGCGAUGACACAAGCGACAUCUUGGAAGAGGCAAAACUUGAGACAGGUCUUCAAGGAUUGGUGCCAUCUGGACAGGUUGAAGAGGAGUAGGAGGGCUUUCGGAUGUGGAGAAUGGCAUGCACAAAAGCACGGAGCAACACUUUAUGCCAGUUGGAUUAUGGUCCAUUGGGAGAAAGAUCAAUUAAGGUGAAACCCCAGUAGAGAAAGCACUGGAGAACAACAUUCAUUCUUCCUUAAUAAAUCUUAGUUUUAAAUAUUUGCUUUGAGUUUUGUUCCAUUAAUAAAGAAAAUAAGAAGGAAAACCAACCAAUAUUUUGUUUUUCCAUAUGCCGUAGUGGAAUCCUGAAGUUGUUGAAUUGAAUUAAUGCUUGAUUCAAUGUGAGGAAUGGACAAAAGACAUGCAGAGAUUCAAGUUCCCUCCGUAAUCUGGUAUUUAUUCAUCAAUCCAUCCAUCCAUCUAUCUAUUCAUCCAUCCAUCCACCCACUCACCCACUCAUCCGGCCAUUCACCCACCCACCUAUCCUCUUACCAUUAGGAAAUUCUUUUAUGUUAAGUGCUAUAAGAGCCAAUUCCUCUUUUUCAGUAAAUGGAGAAGAACAAUUUGUAUUAUAAGAAUUAGUGUGGGUUAGAUUAUUUAUAUCAUCUUUCCCUGGUGAGGGUUCAUGUCUAGGUGUUUCAGACUAGCAUUUUUCCUUGGGUAAUUUCCACUUUCCCUUUGUAAGCUGAUACUUUUACUACAUGUAAGGUCAUAAACUGUUGUUUUGUAAAAAAUAUUUUGACAUGGAUGAACAAUUUGGAGUGUAGAUAUGAAGACAUAAAAGAUAACUUGAAAAAAUCAGACUGAUUCUAACAUUUAUGUAGAGAGGUAAAUAAUCAAGAAUAAUUAGUAACAUUCUGAAAAAGAAGGGUAGCAAGAAGUGACUAUCCUAUUAUUAAAUCUUAUAAAAACUCAUUAAGACAGCAUGGUAUUGGCAUAAGAAUAAAAAGACAUCAUUGGAACAGAAUUGAAAGUUUAGAAAUAGACCUAAAUACAUACAAUAGUUUAAUAUAAGGCAAAGUUUACAUCUAAAAUCAGUAAAGAAAGAUUAAUCAGGGAAUGAGGACAACUAAGUCACACAUCACACCCUACAGUAUAAGUUCCAAAUGAAGAAAAUAUUUAAUGUUAAAAAGGAAAUACUGAAAAUACAAACACGUACAAAAAUUAUUUUAUAAUUACAGAGGAGGGAAAGGCCAUAAGUCAUAAAAUGAAAGAUUGAUUAAAAAUAAAGUACUUGCACCUGGUGAAAAACACCAACAUCAAAGUUCAAAGAUAAAUGACAAGCCAGGAAAAAUAUUUGCAAUUCUGUCAAAGUGUGAAUUUCUCUACUCUUAAAGGAGGCAUACAAACUGAUAAGAAAAAGACCAAUAUCAAACAAAUAGCAGAAAAAGAAUAGAAUAGUCAUGUUUAUACAAAGGGAAAUUUACAAAGAAAGAUCAUUUACAUUGCUUUAAAAAAGAGAAAUGCAAAGCAAAGCAUAACUGAGAUACAAUUUCACCUGUCAAAUUGGCAAAGAUUCAAAAGUUUGGUAAUACCUGGUAUUGGCCACAGUAUUGGCACAAACAGGCUUUCAAAUACAAAUAGUGGGGAUGUAAAUGGCAGAAGUUGGCAAACGAUGGCUUGUGAGCUCAAUUCAGCCUGCUGCUUGCUUUUGUACUGCCCAAGACCUAAGAACCAUUUUUAAGUAGUUGAAAAAAAUCAAAAUAAUAUUGUAUCGUAUCGUAUUGUAUUGUAUUUUACUGUACUGUAUUGUAUUGUAUAUUGAACAUUUGCUAAGAAUAGAUUUUAGGUGCUCUUAUUACACACACACACAAGGUAGCUAUGGAAGGUGAUGCAUAGGUUAAUUUGCUUGAACAUGUUAAUCAUUUCACUAUACAUAUGUGUAUGAAAACAAUCAUGUUGUAUACUGUAAGUAUAUAUCAAUAAAAUAAAACAUUUUGUGACACAUGAA
rnacentral:lncRNA from 10 species